GACGAACGCUGGCGGCGUGCUUAACACAUGCAAGUCGAACGGAAAGGCCCUGCUUUUGUGGGGUGCUCGAGUGGCGAACGGGUGAGUAACACGUGAGUAACCUGCCCUUGACUUUGGGAUAACUUCAGGAAACUGGGGCUAAUACCGGAUAGGAGCUCCUGCUGCAUGGUGGGGGUUGGAAAGUUUCGGCGGUUGGGGAUGGACUCGCGGCUUAUCAGCUUGUUGGUGGGGUAGUGGCUUACCAAGGGUUUGACGGGUAGCCGGCCUGAGAGGGUGACCGGCCACAUUGGGACUGCGAUACGGCCCAGACUCCUACGGGAGGCAGCAGUGGGGAAUAUUGCACAAUGGGCGGAAGCCUGAUGCAGCAACGCCGCGUGCGGGAUGACGGCCUUCGGGUUGUAAACCGCUUUCGCCUGUGACGAAGCGUGAGUGACGGUAAUGGGUAAAGAAGCACCGGCUAACUACGUG
rnacentral:rRNA from 1 species